GGGUUAGGUAAAUGUUUCAUGAUAAUGGGUUAGGUAAAUGUUCCAUGAUAAUGGGUUAGGUAAAUGUUCCAUGAUUGGAAUUUCAUGUCUUUUGUAUUAAAGAAUUAAAUGGAUGAAAUAUGAAAUUUUAUUAAAAGAAAAAGGGGUGAAAAGAACAAAGUUUUGUCCAUCUUUGUUCAUCAUAGCCUAAAGUUAGAGAAGAGAAAGGAGAGGAGAAAGCUCUUGAAUGUUCGGUCACUUGGGGAAGAAAAUUGAAGGCGGUUCGUGUGUGGAUCUCGUCAGCAUAUCGUCGCAAACAGAUGUGUAACUAACACCCUCUUUCUUAGUCUAGAUUGGCAAAAGUCGAAAAGCCGAAAUGUCGAAAACCGGUAUUUUGUAGAUUUGCAAGUGUACGAAUGCUCGUGAGGUAAAUCGAUUAAUGUUUUUGGUAAGCUGCAAAAUUUGGACUGCAAAGUGCAUGAUUUCUGUGCCCUCGAUAUUUUUGGGCUUAGUGGGCCAAAAUUGGAAUGAUGGGCCAACGAGCCCAAUUCGGUAAGAACCCUCCAUAGUGAUUCUGUUAGUACGUGAAAGGUAGGAAUAUGCAUGAAAAACCCUAAAAUAGAUAAAUUACUGAAAUACCUUUAAAAGUGGAAAAUUUACAGUUUUACCCCUAGUAGAUAAAUUACCGAAAUACCUCUAGGGUUAAAUUGACCUAAAUGCAUGUUUGACUGUUGUUAUUUACUGCAUGCCAUGUUGUUAUUAUCUGAUGCAUGGGAUUGGGAUAUUGACGGAGGAA